rnacentral:rRNA from 1 species
UACCAUGCAGUCGAACGAUGAAGCCCAGCUUGCUGGGUGGAUUAGUGGCGAACGGGUGAGUAACACGUGAGCAACCUGCCCCGAACUUUGGGAUAAGCGCUGGAAACGGCGUCUAAUACCGAAUAUGCACCAUGACGGCAUCGUCAAUGGUGGGAAAGAUUUUUCGGUUCGGGAGGGGCUCGCGUCCUAUCAGCUUGUUGGUGAGGUAAUGGCUCACCAAGGCGUCGACGGGUAGCCGGCCUGAGAGGGUGACCGGCCACACUGGGACUGAGACACGGCCCAGACUCCUACGGGAGGCAGCAGUGGGGAAUAUUGCACAAUGGGCGCAAGCCUGAUGCAGCAACGCCGCGUGAGGGAUGACGGCCUUCGGGUUGUAAACCUCUUUUAGUAGGGAAGAAGCGAAAGUGACGGUACCUGCAGAAAAAGCACCGGCUAACUACGUGCCAGCAGCCGCGGUAAUACGUAGGGUGCAAGCGUUAUCCGGAAUUAUUGGGCGUAAAGAGCUCGUAGGCGGUUUGUCGCGUCUGCUGUGAAAACUAGAGGCUCAACCUCUAGCUUGCAGUGGGUACGGGCAGACUAGAGUGCGGUAGGGGAGAUUGGAAUUCCUGGUGUAGCGGUGGAAUGCGCAGAUAUCAGGAGGAACACCGAUGGCGAAGGCAGAUCUCUGGGCCGUAACUGACGCUGAGGAGCGAAAGAGUGGGGAGCAAACAGGCUUAGAUACCCUGGUAGUCCACUCCGUAAACGUUGGGAACUAGUUGUGGGGGCCUUUCUACGGUCUCCGUGACGCAGCUAACGCAUUAAGUUCCCCGCCUGGGGAGUACGGCCGCAAGGCUAAAACUCAAAGGAAUUGACGGGGACCCGCACAAGCGGCGGAGCAUGCGGAUUAAUUCGAUGCAACGCGAAGAACCUUACCAAGGCUUGACAUAUACCGGAAACGGCUGGAAACAGUCGCCCCCUUGUGGUCGGUAUACAGGUGGU